GAUUUCUGGCGUUUCAUUUCAGGCCGGCCACGGUUUCGUGUGUUAGUGCUUGAGAUCUUCGCCAUCCUUCCAAUGGCUAUUCAUCCUUCUUCAUUGAAGGUGUGAGUGGUAUUGGAUCUUUUACUUUGAAAAAAUUAGAGUGUUUAAAGCAGGCUUAUGCUGUGAAUACAUUAGCAUGGAAUAAUAAUUUAGGACUUCGGUCCUAUUUUGUUGGUUUCUAGGACAGAAGUAAUGAUUGAUAGGGACAGUUGGGGGUGCUAGUAUUCCGCGGCCAGAGGUGAAAUUCUUGGAUUCGCGGAAGACUAACUACUGCGAAAGCAUU
rnacentral:rRNA from 1 species